CUCUUAUUCCAGCAGCCGCGGUAAUACGUUCCCGGGCCUUGCUCCACACCGCCCGUCACACCAUGGAAGCCAGCUGUACCGGAAGUCGGUGCGCCAACCCCAAAAGGGAGGUAGCCGCCCAUGGUAUGACUGGUGACUGGGGUGAAGUCGUAACAAGGUAGCCGUAAGGGAACCUGCGGAUGGAUCACCUCCUUUCUAAGGAGCUGUGGCUUU
rnacentral:misc_RNA from 1 species